UUCCUGCUUGUAGAAUUAGCAAUAUUUCAAUUGACAACGUUUUGGGUUGAUGUUCAUUAAAACGAUUUAUUAUUUUUUUUAUAGUGUUCUUUAGUGUACAUGCUCUAAAAAAUAAUAUUGUAGUAUUAUCCGUGCCCAUUUGUUUAAAUUAAAAUAUGAUAACUAAAUAGCUCAAGAGAAUAUUUUAACUAUAAUGAAGAAGAUUUAUUAUCUGUCAAUAUUAAGGUAGUUCAUGUAUCAAACACCA
rnacentral:lncRNA from 1 species